rnacentral:lncRNA from 1 species
GGGAGUUCGUUAAAGCUGACCCAUCUUUCCCAUGGCUUGGGACAGGGGCUUGUAGGUCCCUGGAGCUAAGAGUGACAAAAUCCUUCCAAUUCACAGAGAAUGGGGACACAGGAGGUUCACACAAGGAAGAUGAGACACAGAGUAAGCUACUGUUGCAGGCUCCAUCCUCAACUCUCUUACCUCUGGAACCAAGGAGAGCAGGCACUAUGAAGUACAUACAGAAUUUACAGAUGGGUGUAAGGCCACAGCUAGCAGCCACUGAGCAAAAGCUACACAGCCAAACUUCCUGAACCUUUACAGGACAAUAAAAAUGCCACCAAUCAGCAAGGACAGACAGUUUUCUUCCUCUCUCACAAGGAGCCAGCACUCCACCUGGGGAAUAUCUUUCAAAGCUUGAGGGCCUGAGAGUACAGCUUUCAACGCUGCCCAAAAGAGGAUGCCACACAGGGCAGCCGC